UCAGGCAUUCCUCUGAGCAGCUUUAAAUAGAAUUAUUUGCACUCUUUUUCCCUGAAGGAUAUGCUAGGUUUGUACUUUUAUCUGCUAAUUUAAAGCUGGAAGUCCAUGGAAAUGCUAGCUUAAAAAAAAAAAAGGCUUUCCAUAUUUAUUUAAAUAUAACUGCAAAGAGACAUGCACAGCACAGGAGCGUUUAGGACUUUAAAAUGGCACAAGCUUUUGAGGAGAGGCAAUAGUAAGACUGGAGCUGCAGUUUUUUCUUAGUAAAACACGAGAAAUGAUUAAACCGUGCCCGAGCUGCACAUAUGUUUGUGCUAUGUUUAGGAUUUUUUUUUUUUUUUUUUUUUUGCUCCGAGCAAACGUCAAAGGGGAACGGCUCUUCUCGGUUACUGUAGUGAUUUGCAAUUUUCUCUUUUAAUAAAAGACUAAGAGCGUUUGUGAGUCAGCAGAGCUGCGCAGCCUUUGGAAAGGUCAGUCUGAAGAUGCACUUUCGUAUGGUGGAGCCCGAGGCUCCCGGGACGGCUCCAUUUUCAUCGGGCUUGCCCACCCGUGGGUGCGUGAGCCUGCCCCGGGAUGACCACCCUCCACCCCGCGGGCUUCAGGAGAAGCGGAGCGCUUGGUAGAAGAGGGCUCAGGUGGAGCAGAUGCUUAGCAUCAGGGUGCCAAACCGGAGCGAACCCGACUUUCUUCAAAAGGGCUUUUUCUAAAGAAAAGGGUACGUGAAGCAGCAAUGCGAUAGGAUAGGUCAAAGCGGCUGCUGGAUCAAUGCGGGAGUCGCCCAGUGAAUUAUUUCUGGCUGUCCUCUCGUUCCGAUGACAUUGAAGUGCAGAAGGAACAGGGCUGCAAUACCAUCUGUUCAGGCUACCGGAGCCGUGUUAGAAAAGAAAAUCCAUUGCCCUGGCGUAGGGAGGGAAAGCCAGGUCUGCUCUGUCGUAAUUCAAAGGACCGUCGCUUCUGGGGGUUUGAAACAUCCAGGCGGAGAACGGGCAGGAAACCAAGUUACCGUGUAAGUUGUUGAUAAAGUGGAGACCAACUUUUGGGCAUGUGAAACCUUUUAGUUCCCUUGGAGGUUAUCCUUGCUCCGCCAACUGAGGGAAACUUCCAUCUUCCCAUUAAAAU
rnacentral:lncRNA from 1 species